rnacentral:rRNA from 1 species
CCUACGGGGGGCUGCAGUGGGGAAUAUUGCACAAUGGACGAAAGUCUGAUGCAGCAACGCCGCGUGGAGGAUGACACAUUUCGGUGCGUAAACUCCUUUUAUAUAGGAAGAUAAUGACGGUACUAUAUGAAUAAGCACCGGCUAACUCCGUGCCAGCAGCCGCGGUAAUACGGAGGGUGCAAGCGUUACUCGGAAUCACUGGGCGUAAAGAGCGUGUAGGCGGGUAUAUAAGUCAGAAGUGAAAUCCAAUAGCUCAACUAUUGAACUGCUUUUGAAACUGUAUACCUAGAAUGUGGGAGAGGUAGAUGGAAUUUCUGGUGUAGGGGUAAAAUCCGUAGAGAUCAGAAGGAAUACCGAUUGCGAAGGCGAUCUACUGGAACAUUAUUGACGCUGAGACGCGAAAGCGUGGGGAGCAAACAGGAUUAGAUACCCCAGUAGUC